rnacentral:misc_RNA from 1 species
UGUCCCGGUUGGUUGGAUCCCUGUCAAGGCAGCGACAACCACUUGUUCAUACAUGUUCAUUUCUGUCCGAGAGCUAAGAAUUGAGCCUUCGGUGUGCAUGGUCCCCUGUACAACUACCUAGUUUGAAGGAAUUUUGGAGUCCCACGGUCCCUUAUUUGUCUCGCGCUUCUUAUGUUGUGCGAGAUAAACAAAGAAACUAACAUGGAUCUUUGCCCUUUCAUUUCCUUUCGGUCUUGAGAGCAUCGGAUGUCCAUGUGUUGCCAGAAAUCUUGUAUGCGGAAUCGUUGAUCGGUUUGGGUGUUGGCCCAUACUUUUCCGUAUUAAAUGUCCCUCACGAAAGUUCGUUGUGCCUUGUGUUGACUCUAGGAUGCUAAUGCAUCUAGAACUCAUGCUAGGCCUUCGGCAAGAAGGAAUGC